CCUACGGGAGGCAGCAGUAAGGAAUAUUGGUCAAUGGACGAAAGUCUGAACCAGCCAUGCCGCGUGAAGGAUUAAGGUCCUCUGGAUUGUAAACUUCUUUUAUAGGGGACGAAAAAAGGGCAUUCUUGCUCUCUUGACGGUACCCUGUGAAUAAGCACCGGCUAACUCCGUGCCAGCAGCCGCGGUAAUACGGAGGGUGCAAGCGUUAUCCGGAUUCACUGGGUUUAAAGGGUGCGUAGGCGGGUAGGUAAGUCAGUGGUGAAAUCUCGGAGCUUAACUCCGAAACUGCCAUUGAUACUAUCUAUCUUGAAUAUUGUGGAGGUUUGCGGAAUAUGUCAUGUAGCGGUGAAAUGCAUAGAUAUGACAUAGAACACCUAUUGCGAAGGCAGCAGGCUACACAUAUAUUGACGCUGAGGCACGAAAGCGUGGGGAUCAAACAGGAUUAGAUACCCUGGUAGUCCACGCCCUAAACGAUGAUUACUCGACAUACGUGAUACACUAUGUGUGUCUGNGNGAAGANAUAUANACACNGAGAGUCGCGAGAGAGAAGACAAGAAGUAGAGNGNGAGAGNGCGAGGACGACGACGAGGGAGGAGG
rnacentral:rRNA from 1 species